CAUGCCUUGGGAGUCUAUGUGGUUGUGGCCUUUCACUGUUAUGACACUAACGAUGACCAGGAAAAGUGCCAAUGGCCUGGCACUCAGUGGAGUGUGCAACUAUUCAUCUUGGUGUUGUCCAGAGAGGCCACUGCAAUGUGCCCGCUCCAAAUGUAGGUUGGAGCACCCCCACCCCCCUUGCCUGUCCAGCUCUUCCAAGAAUCAUCAUCCAGGGAUCACUGAGAUCCUGCCGCAUGUUUAUUUGUACAAAUAGCGCAGGAGGACACCAGCCCCAUGCAGAUAGAAGCUCAUGGGUCACACCCGGCCUUCUGUCCUCACACUGGCAGACUGGAGCCUCUGCACUGGAGCCUUUGUGCAAAGGGGCCUGGGCACCUUUGGGAGCCUGAGCCGCAGCAGGAGCUGCAGCUGGAGUCACAGCUGUAGUCUGAGUCUUGUUUAAGCCUUGGUCUUGGACUUCGGACUCCAGAGCCCUGAGACCCUGGGCAAUGCGGCAACGAGCAGAUUUCCCAAGCUUGGGGUGAGCGAUGCAGGCAAGUUGAGCUUGCGGCUGCCACCCUUUGGGAUCUUGGGCUUGACCUCCUUGGGGACUCCUGGCCUUGGUGUUGUUGGCCUGCGUCUUCUUCAAAUCUUUCUUGUUGUGCUUCUGGGAAAAGUGCAUGUUCCUUAGGAACAUAGGAUCUGCCCUCUUAAGAGAAUCAUAUCUUCUUUUUUUAAAGAUUUUAGUUAUUCAGAAAGACACACAGAGAGAGGCAGAGACAUAG